rnacentral:rRNA from 1 species
UACGGGGGGGGCAAGCGUUGUUCGGAAUUACUGGGCGUAAAGGGCUCGUAGGCGGCCAACUAAGUCAGACGUGAAAUCCCUCGGCUUAACCGGGGAACUGCCUCUGAUACUGGAUGGCUUGAGAUUGGGAGAGGGAUGCGGAAUUCCAGGUGUAGCGGUGAAAUGCGUAGAUAUCUGGAGGAACACCGGUGGCGAAGGCGGCCUUCUGGACGGAUACUGACGCUGAGACGCGAAAGCGUGGGGAGCAAACAGG